CUGAGUGGCGGACGGGUGAGUAACGCGUGGGUAACCUGCCUCAUACAGGGGGAUAACAGUUAGAAAUGACUGCUAAUACCGCAUAAGACCACAGCACCGCAUGGUGUAGGGGUAAAAACUCCGGUGGUAUGAGAUGGACCCGCGUCUGAUUAGGUAGUUGGUGGGGUAACGGCCUACCAAGCCGACGAUCAGUAGCCGACCUGAGAGGGUGACCGGCCACAUUGGGACUGAGACACGGCCCAA
rnacentral:rRNA from 1 species